rnacentral:lncRNA from 1 species
GUGUAAUUUGCACGGGGGCAGUUCUCACAGGCACAGAGGAAGAUAAGGGCCCUUAUUGAACUAAUCGCUGAAUACUUAUGGACGUUUACCAGGAGCAAGCAUAUUAGUCAAAGACCUGGGUUUACAUGCUUCCUCUGCCACUUACUGGUUUGGAGAUUUUGAUCAAGAGGAGAAUACAAGUUUGAGAUGGAUGAGUAAUCUGCUGAAGAUCACUGAAUGAAUGUGCAAGGAAACCAUAACAUAAAUCCAUGUCUCUUUCUACUACUCAAUUUUUUCCUGUUACUAAUAUCAUUUUUAAAAAUAAUAUUUAUGGGGUUACAAUUUAUGUUUAAUAAGCUUUACCCAUUUUACCACGUUAUGACCCAACAAGAAAGCCUUCACCAGAUGCGGCCACUUGAUGUUGAACUUCCCAGCCUCUAGAACCACAAGGUAAAUAAAUUUCUAUUCAUUAUAAAUUACCCAGUAUAUGAUAUUCUAU